AAGUUCAGUAAUGAAUGUAGCGGACUGGUACUAAUAAGUCGAGAACUUAACU
rnacentral:rRNA from 1 species